AGCGAAACUCCUGCUUUUAGAAAUUUUAUCUUUAGACUUCAUUGGAAUUGUUUUUAUUUCAAGCCGAAGCCUGAGUGAGAUUUUGGUGAGAAACUUCUUGCAUGAUGAUUCAUGAUUCCCUUUUAUUUUCCCAUAUUACCCUUCUUCAUAUGUCAUCUUCCUUCGGCUGUCUUCAUCAGAUUCAUGGGGACCAGAGCAGUUGUUUUAAAACGCUUGCCCAACUGUGGCCUCCAGCCAAACAGUUUUUUUAUGCACGUCCAUUAUUUUAUUCAUUUAGGCUAAUUUUAUUUUCUCUGUACCUCCAACAGGUAUUCGAAACCCAAAACGGGUAUGUACCAUUAGAUCUUCAUAUAGAAACCCUGCUGGUGGUGCACUGAGAGAUUUGUAAGAAGAUUGAUGAUAUGGAAAGCGUGUCCUACAGCUACUUUAUGCAUGAAACUUAUUGUCUACAGAUUACAGGGUGUCAACUUGGCAGAAAAGUUAUUAAUGCAAAAAUUUAUCGUCCGUCUUUAUUGUGUGUAAGUUUGGUAAUUUUUUCUGCAUUUUUUACUCUUCAAUCACUUUCUCCUCAUCAUUUAAAAUUUUUCAGGUCAAUGUUUAGAUCUAUCGACCCGAUUGAUCUCUAUCUUAUUUUCAAUAUUGACGCUUAGAGGCUUGCUCUUGGAUGAAUGUCGUAAAUAAGGCUCAGAUCAUUGAACAGAGAGCAGUGAAUUUCAUGCAUACAUUUGAAGAAAUGAUGCAAGUACCACACGCCUUGGUAGAGCUUUUGAUGGUGUACCAUGUGGGAUGCUUAUUUGUAUUCUAAUCAAGUUCAGUGGUGGCUCAGAUGUUGCUAGAGAUUCCUUUGUGCAGGUGGCCAAGCAUCCGAAAGCAUAUUUAUUCUGCUGCCUGGUCUCUGCAGUGGAGAUUGCAGGCAGUGAGCGAAUCUGGUGGUGCCAAAACAUGGCGGCAGAGAGUGCAAUUUAUGUAAACCAGUCAUUUUUAUGGGAACAGACGUUUAUAUCGUGGUUAUUGUUAUGAUAUAUCAUUUCUUUAUUUUUCUCUUUACUGUUUUAGUAUUUUUCUCUUUACUGUUUUAUUGUUUUUCUCUUUCACCUUGUUCUGUCCUUAUGUAACCCUCUGUAAUGGAUCCAUUGUAUUGGGUAUAAGAUACACU
rnacentral:lncRNA from 1 species